UCCUACGGGAGGCAGCAGUGGGGAAUAUUGCACAAUGGGCGCAAGCCUGAUGCAGCCAUGCCGCGUGUGUGAAGAAGGCCUUCGGGUUGUAAAGCACUUUCAGUCGUGAGGAAGGUAGUGUAGUUAAUAGCUGCAUUAUUUGACGUUAGCGACAGAAGAAGCACCGGCUAACUCCGUGCCAGCAGCCGCGGUAAUACGGAGGGUGCGAGCGUUAAUCGGAAUUACUGGGCGUAAAGCGCAUGCAGGUGGUUUGUUAAGUCAGAUGUGAAAGCCCGGGGCUCAACCUCGGAAUAGCAUUUGAAACUGGCAGACUAGAGUACUGUAGAGGGGGGUAGAAUUUCAGGUGUAGCGGUGAAAUGCGUAGAUAUAUGGAGGAACACCGGUGGCGAAAGCGGCUCUCUGGACUGUAACUGACACUGAGGCUCGAAAGCGUGGGUAGCAAACAGGAUUAGAUACCCUGGUAGUCCACGCCGUAAACGAUGAGUGCUAGUUGUUUGGGGCUAUCCAGCCCUAAGUGACGCAGCAAACGCAUUAAGCACUCCGCCUGGGGAGUACGACCGCAAGGUUGAAACUCAAAGGAAUUGACGGA
rnacentral:rRNA from 1 species